AGCAGUGAGGAAUAUUGGUCAAUAGCCUAACGGCUGAACCAGCAACUUGGAGGAAUGGAUACCAAGAAUAUAUUUUUUUGGUAGAAAAGAACUAUGUUCUAUAAAAUUCUAGAUAAAAAGAUGAAACGACAUUUUUUAUUUAUAUGUCUUGACCAAGUCACGUGCCAGCAGUCGCGGUAAUACGUGGAAGACUAGUGUUAUUCAUCUUUAAUUGGUUUAAAGGGUACCUAGACAGUCGAUAAAGCCUAGUAAAGGGACUGAUGGACUAGAGUGUUAUGUAAGGAGGUAGAAGGGUUAGAGUAGAGAUGAAAUUCUGUCAUACAACCAGGACUGGUAAAGGCGAAAGCAACCUUUUAUGUAAACACUGACGUUGAGGGACGAAGGCCUAUAGUAGCAAACAGGAUUAGAUACCCCAGUAGUUUGGGCAGACAAUGAUGAGUGUCAUGCGUAAGUAGAAAUAUUUGUGCAUAAAUGAAAGUGUAAGCACUCCACCUCAAGAGUAAUACGGCAACGUAUAAACUGAAAUCACUAGACCGUUUCUGAAACCAGCAGUGAAGUAUGUUGUUUAAUUUGAUAAUCCACGGAAAACCUUACCACAAUAUGUAUAUUUAUAUAAAAAUAUAAUUACAGGUGUUGCACGGCUGUCUCCAGUUAAUGUCGUGAGAUUUUGGUUAGUUCCAUUAAAUUAACGUAAACCCUUACUUUAUUUGUUAUAGAGUAGUUCGUCACUAUAUUGAAAUGUGAUAAGAGGGACUAAGACAAGUCAUCAUGACUCUAACAUUGUGGGCUAUAGACGUGCCACAU
rnacentral:rRNA from 1 species